rnacentral:lncRNA from 1 species
AUGGUGGCCAACACCUCCCUCAUCCUGGCCUCCAGCUCGCCCAGCUGCGCCGCCUUGGCGUCCAGCACCACCUCGUUCUGCUCGUACUUCUUCUCCAGCACUGCGGGGGACAGAGAUUGGGGUGGGGGGCGACGAGUGAGGCCAGCCCCUCGCCACAUCUCCCCCAGCCCAGCCGCCCUCCCCAGCCUCACCUUGCAGCUUCCUCAGCUUGCCCUGGGCGUCCUCCAGCAGCCCGGCGGCCUCCUCCCGCAGCUGCUGCGCCCGGUCGCCCGCCUGCCGCGCGCCCUGCGCCCGGUGCUGCACCAGCUCCUGCGCCGCCCGGUACCGGUCCCGCAGCGGCCCCUCAAGCACCUGCUUGGCCUCGCCGGCACGGUCCCGGGCAACGCUGGCUGCCUCUUGGGCACGCGUGGCCGCCAGGCUGUUGUUGGCACGCUUCACCUUCAGGGCGUCCGUCUGUCCCUCCAGGAGACCGAUCCGCUCCAUGGCGGCGGCCAGCUGCUGCUCCGCACCCCUUGCCUGCGCCUGCAUCUGGGGAUGUCCUCAAAUAGGGACGGGUUUUGGGGUGCCAGGGAGCGAGGGAGGGCAGUGGGGAGCGCCCUUACCGUGCCAAUGGUGCUCUCGCUGUGCUGGAUGUCGGCUGCGGCGCUGCGCAGUGCCUCCUCGGCCGUGCCCUGGGCUCGCUGCGCAUCCCCCAGCGCCUGCUGCACCGCCUCGGCUGUACCCCGCACGCCCUCAGCCCGCAACCUGCAGCCGGGGCGGCACGGCCUCAGCGCCAGCCCAGGUUGGGUCCCAUUUGGAGCCGUGUCCCCGUGUCCCCACACUCACCUGGCCCUCUGGGCGUCCUGCAGCAGCUGCGCGGCCUGGCGCACGUCGCCAGCCGUCUGCUCCAGGAUGGCGUCCACGCUGGCCAGGCUGCGCACCCGCUCCUUGAUCUCCUCGGCCAGGCGGUGGAUCUGGGCCGGCGAAGCAGGCAGCGACAGCUCCAGCACCCGGCUGGCCACCACCUCGAUGCUCUCGGGGUCAGCCCCCUCCUCUGUGGGGGGGCAGCCAUCAGUGCGUGUGCCCCAGGGUACAGGGAACAGCAGGGGUGGGGGGCAGGAGGUGCAGCACGGUGCAGAGCCACUCGGUGCUGGGCAGGGGCAGCCGUCCCCCCUGGCACAGCGGCACUCACGGCUCAGGAAGGCCUUGACGUGGCUGAUGAGGUCCCGCAGCUCCUUGUUGGAGAGCUCCACGCGGGCCCUGGUCUGGUUUGCCUUGUCCAGAGCCGCCUGUGCUCGCUGCCGGGCUUCAUCCGCCUUUCCCUUGGCCUCAGCCACCUGGGCAGGGGCAGAGACCCUCAGCAGAGGCGCACGUUGCCACCCCACCUGCUUCUACCCAUGCCCUUGCGACACGCACCCGGUGGGAGAGCUGGGCCACCUCGCCAGCCGCGUGCCGCAGCUCCUCCUGGGCAUGCCGCGCUCGGUCCAGGGCGCUGUCAGCCUUGGAGACAGCUCCACCACAGCUCAGCCCCCCGCAGCGCCGUGUCCCAUCCUCAUCCCGGCACCCGGCUCCCCCGCAGGGGCUCUCGGAGCAGGGCACGUCGCUUGUGGCACCGCACACCUGCAAGAAGAGGCAGGCAGAUGGGUUGGAGCCGUCCCCAGGCUCUGUGCCCUGCUCACAUCCCCACGACCCCACGUCCCCACAUCCCCACGUCCCCACGUCCCCACGUCCCCACGUCCCACCUUCUCGUUGAGGGGGUGCAGGCUCAGCUCCCGUGCCCUUGCCGCCAGGUCCGUCAGUGCCCGCCGGUUGGCCGCGUUCUGCCGGUUGAAGUUGUCACGCCGGCUGGCCAGGAGCUGCUCGGUGCGGCGCCGCGUGGCUGCCGAGGUGCUGACGGGGUUGGGCACGGCGCGGGUGGAGGCAUCGGCGCGUUGCUCGGCCUCCUGCGACUCCCUGUGA